rnacentral:piRNA from 1 species
UGGAAGAGAGAAUCUCAGGUGCAGGAA